rnacentral:hammerhead_ribozyme from 1 species
AUCCAUCUGACGAGCCCCAAAUAAGGCGAAACGCGCGUUCUGGAU